UACAGAGGGGGCCAGCGUUAUUCGGAAUUAUUGGGCGUAAAGGGCGCGUAGGCGGCCAUGCGUGUCUUCCGUGAAAUCCCUCGGCUUAACUGAGGACGUGCGGAAGAAACUGCAAGGGCUCGAGUCCGGGGAGAGGGGGGUGGAAUUCCCAGUGUAGCGGUGAAAUGCGUAGAUAUUGGGAGGAACACCGGUGGCGAAGGCGGCCCCCUGGACCGGUACUG
rnacentral:rRNA from 1 species